UUCCUUUUACAGUGAGGACGAGUGACGAGCUUCGUAAUGAUAAACUCACAGGAAAAUAAACUAUCCUUUGGAGGGAGAAAACCUCAAGGGAAUCGAUCCCAUUGGUUAUCUGUUACUGCGCUCUCUGUUGACAGUGCCAUUGCACGAUAACAUGUCAGUCAAUAAGGGAGCACAAGGUGCCACUUGUAUAGUUUGGCAUUUGGGGUCAAAGGUACGUCACAUGACUGCAACUAGGAAACGGGGCUUUGAGAGCUAUCAGUAGAUAUUUCUUAAACGCGAUAACAGAAAGUACUAUCUUUUAUGUUACUCCCUUGCUCGUUGAAAGUGGUCCCGACACGAUAAGAAGCAACAUGGGCUCUCCUAACCAGACCUGUGACAGUGGUGUACCCAUGGACCACUUCUUACACUAUUCUCUCCUUCCGUCGGUAAGGGGUCUCUGUGUCCCCCAUACAGUACGUUAACAUCCAGGUUACAGCACUUGGAUCAGGAUGAUUUUCACAGACCACUACCACAAAAACCCUGUCAUGUUGUGUUUCUGCCAUCUUCUCCUGGAGAGACAACAGAGGACCACAGAGGCAGAAUCGUACUCCACGUUCAACAACACACCUUCGCCAGAUUCAGCCUGUGGAAGUCGGGCCAGGCGGUGAUGGAUGCUCCUCUACACCCUGAUGAAGAACCCACGACUGAUCUUCCUGAGGAAGAACAGGACCUCCUCCAGUCCCACUCACCAGGACACAGUUGUCCAAACCUGGCUGCUGGCCUCUCAGACCGAACAGAUGGGACAGGCACCAGAGACGACAGCCACAGCCGUUACAUCAGAUCAGACGACGGCCAAUGGGCAGGCAUUAACUGACUGAUUCUGCUCAUGGCUUAUACAUGCGCAGCCUGAAAUAGUGUAAUACAAUAAUGUGACAUAACAUUUAGUAGGCCUACACACAUUUCGAGGACACCUUUUUGGCUCAUGGGUGCUACAUUUGAUACUACAGGCCAAGCUCUUACAAUGCAUUGUUUUGUAUGUGAUGAAUCAUGGGAAAUGGGGAUAACAACUGAAAUGUGUCUUCUGCAUUUAACCCAACCCCUCUGAAUCAGAGAGGUGCCGGGGGCUGGCUUAAUUGACAUCUACAUCUUUGGCACCCAGGGAACAGUGGGUUAACUGCCUUGCUUAGGGGCAGAACAACAGAUUCUUACCUUGUCAGCUCGGGGAUUCUAUCCAGCAAACUUUCGGUUACUGGGCCAAUGUUCUAACCAUUAGGCUAAUAUGAUUAAUGCAUUAUAAAUUCGGAAAUACCUACAUAAUUACUCCUACUGGGGAAAAUGAUAGGACAAAUUGGACAUAGUUAUGCUUUUUACCUCAUAACGGUCCAUUUGUUUUUACUAGGCCACGUAGCCACAGGAAGUAGAGGUGCUGAGGGUGUUGCAGCACUCUCUGAAAAAUCUGAAUAAAAAAAUAUACAGUACCAGUCAAAAGUUUGGACACACCUACUCAUUCAAGGGUUUUUCGUAAUGUUUUACUAUUUUCUACAUUGUAGAAUAAUAGUGAAGACAUCAAAACUAUGAAAUAACACAUGGAAUCAUGUAGUAAUCAAAAAAGUCUUAAUUAAACAAAUCAAAAUAUAUUUAUAUUUGAGAUUCUUCAAAAUAGCCACCCUUUGCCUUGAUGACAGCUUUGCACACUCUUGGCAUUCGCUCAACCAGCUUCAUGAGGUAGUCACCUGGAAUGCGUUACAAUUAACAGGUGUGCUGUGUUAAAAGUUCAUUUGUGGAAUUUAAUUCCUUAAUGCGUUUGAGCCAAUCAGUUGUGUUGUGGCAAGGUAGGGUUGGUACACAGAAGAUAGCCCUAUUUGGUAAAAGUCCAAAUCCAUAUUAUGGCAAGAACAGCUCAAAUAUGCAAAGAGAAAUGACAGUUCAUCAUUACUUCAGGACAUGACGGUCAGUCAAUGUGGAACAUUUCAAGAACAAGUUUCAUCAAGUGCAGUCGCAAAAACCAUCAAGCGCUAUGAUGAAACUGGCUCUCAUGAGGACCUCUACAGAAAUGGAAGGCCCAGAAUUACUUCUGCUGCAGAUGAUAAGGUAAUUGGAGUUACUAGCCUCAGAAAUUGCAGCCCAAAUAAAUGCUUGACAGAGAUCAAGUAACAUACACAUCUCAACAUCAAAUGUUCAGAGGAGACAGCCUGAAUCCGGCCUUCAUGGUCAAAUUGCUGCAAAGAAACCACUUCUAAAGGACAUCAAUAAUAAGAAGAGACUUGAUUGGGCCAGAAACACAAGCAAUAGAUAUUAGACCGAUGGAAAUCUGUCCUUUGGUCUGAUGAGUCCAGAUUUGAGAUUUUUGGUUCCAAAAGCUGUGUCUUUGUGAGAUGCAGAGUAGGUGAACGGAUGAUCGAUGCAUGUGUGGUUUCCACUGUGAAGCAUGGAGGAGGAGGUGUGAUGGUGCUUUGCUGGUGACACUGUCUGUGAUUUAUUUAGAAUUCAAGGCACACCUACCAGCAUGGCUACCACAGUAUUCUGCAGCAAUACGCCAUCCCAUCUGGUUUGCGCAUAGUGGGACUAUCAUUUGUUUUUCAGCAGGACAAUGACCCAAAACACCUCCAGGCUGUGUAAGGGGUAUUUGACCAAGGAGGAGAGUGAUGGAGUGCUGCAUCAGAUGACCUGGCCUCCACAAUCACCCGACCUCAACCCAAUUGAGAUGGUUUGGGAUGAGUUAGACCACAGAGUGAAGGAGAAGCAGCCAACAAGUGCUCAGCAUAUGUGGGAACUCCUUCAAGACUGUUGGAAAAGCAUUCCAGGUGAAGCUGUUUGAGAGAAUGCUACGAGUGUGCAAAGCUGUCAUCAAGGCAAAGGGUGGCUUCCUUGAAGAAUUUCAAAUAUAAAAUAUAUUUUUAUUUGUUUUAACAUUUUUUUAGUUUGUAAAUUAUUCCAUAUGUGUUACUUCAUAGUUUUGAUGUCUUAACUAUUAUUCUACAAUGUAGAACAUAGUAAAAAUAAAGAAAACCCCUUGAAUGAGGAUGUGUAUCCAAACUUUUCACUGGUACUGCAUACACAUUUUUAAAAGGUUUUUUUUUUUAUUAUGUUUUCUUCUCACAAAGUAGUGCACUGGGCCUUUACUAGUAUUAGCAGACUAAUAUAGAUGUCUGUAGCUCAAGCAAAAAAAAAUGUUUCAGCACCUCUGCUUUGGCAAAAAAGCUAGUUGUAUAAUUAUGAACAGUAUCUUGCAGGAUUCAAUAGUCAUUCUAAUGGGAUACAGAAAGAACAAAACCAUGUCCUCACAUUAAAGGUGCAAAGUUAUGGGCAAAGACACAAAACAUCCACAUCAAAUUAAAUAUUUUUAUUGAUCAAAUGACAUGGAAAACAACCCCUUUUUAUGCAGUAUUAAUGUACCAUCCUUAAAAACCACUUAAGGUAAAUGUACAUUGCUGUUUUGUACAUAGGCUGGUCAUGCAAAGUAGCGCAACGAUCUAAUGCACUGCAUCUCAAUGCUUGAGGCGUCAUUACAGACACCCUGGUUCGAUUCCAGGCUGUAUCACAACCGGCUGUGAUUGGGAGUAGAGCAGUGCACAAUUGGCCUGGUUUGGCCGGUGUAGGCUGUCAUUGUAAAUAAGAAUUUGUUCUUAACUGACUUGCCUAGUUAAAUAAACAUUACAUUAAAAAAAUAUAUAUGGAUAAUAAUCAUCUUGGUUUGUACCUGUAGACUUUCCAUCACCAUGAAGAAAAACAAAGUAAUUGAGUACGUUGAGACAUCAAGUGGUUUGUGAUAAUGUGGCUCAGUUGGUAGAGCAUGCCGCUGGGUUGUGGGUUUGAAUCCCAUGGGGAACCAGUAUGACAAUGUAAGUUGCUCUGGAUAAGAGUCUCUUCGAAAAGGAAUGAAUAGACCAUUUCAGUUUCCACAUAGUUAAAAAAAAUAAAAAAACAUCACAAAAGUAGUACGCUGGGCCUUUACUAGUCAUGUAUUAGUAGACUGAGUUAGAAGUCCUCAGCACAUGCAAGAACAAAAACAAAUCUGCACCCCCAAACUACUUCCAGCAGCUAAAGUAUGCCACGCGUACUGUAUAUCGGUUGCAUUAAUGAUUGUAAUUGAGUGUCUUUGACUUGAAAAUAAAUAAUUACAUUUGUGUAAAUGUCUUACAAUAAAAUAAAUCACAUAUUUACUAAAA